rnacentral:lncRNA from 1 species
GAGGCUCAAGCUCUGCACAAUCCGAGCUAAAGUUCAGAUCUGAAGUCGGGCUGGAGACUCUAACUCUAGCGCUUGGUGGGAGGCAACCCACUGUUGGUUUGUUUUUUAUGUUUUCAUUUUUCUUGUUCUUUCCUUGUUUUUAGUUGGUGUUUUAUUUUUUUUGUCCUAAGUUUCGGUUGCUAUGCGGAUACUAUGAUUCUGGAGGUGUUCAUGUUUCUGCUUCAGCGCUGCAAUCUUUACUCUGACCUUGUAGCACAACGCUGCCAUUCC